UGUACAACUGCGAGUACAAGUUUGGUCAAAGUGCGUUAUGUUUUGUCAGUUUGGUUAAUUUGCAAUUUUCUAGCAUCCAAAAUAAUUUUCAGUCAGGUAGCCUACUUGUGAUGACAUUUUUUUACAAACGUCAUUUGUAAAGCACUUUUUUCACGAAGAGGAAAGUUCGAAGGACAUCUGCUUUACAUCGCCAUUCGCCAUCCGAAGUCCUUCAACUGCACUGACCUGCAUCUGCAUCUGUACCUACACGGUGUGUGCCACUGCAGCUGACGUUGAGACAACCCUGACUGUACCCGCAAGUCCUCGCCUGAUUCUACUUGGUGGAACUGGGCAAGUCACUUUUGGGCGCUGGAUGAUCACGCUUGAGGGUCGUGUCAUAUCUGAAGGCAUCACAUCAACCUUUUUGAUGGGACUUGCUGCUGUAUUUGCAAUAUACUAUAUGCUUAACCUCCAAUAUCAAGAAGAAGCAGCCUGUACUCUGGAAUUCAUUUAGAGGUGCUUCAUUGGCAUCAAUCCCGAAAAAGGCACAAAGGCCACCCGGGGAAAGGUUGUCCCGAAAAAAUUCUCCACAGUGAAUGCACAUGUCUCCACACUAUUGAAGAACCUAAUCGACUUUCAGUGGGACUUCAUAUAGGGGUACCAGUUGGAAUACCUCAGGAGACAACAUGCAGCCAGGUCGUCAUGGUUAAGUGGGUGUAAAAUGACAAAGUCAUUCACCUAGGACUAGAACUCUUUCAAAAGGUACACGAGCCUCCUCACUGGAAUGUUUAAAAAAGUGCUGAAAAAACCCUGAACAAAUGUUUUUUUUCACUAAAAUGUUUCACAAAAUUUGUUGCAUGUUAGUGCAGAUCCAAAAAUGUUCAAAACAUGUUAAAUGUUUAAUGUGUUUGACCUCAGGUUGUCAUGUUUGGAACUUAUUUUAUGUUUGUGUCUGUUAUUUAUUUUUUAUUGCCAUUUGUUUUUAUUUAUACGUUUUUUUUUUUUUUUUGUUAGCCAAAAUCUGUUUUCUUCUGUUUUUUUUACCUUUUUUAGUUUUGAAUCCUUGUUAAA